UGCAACAAUGUUUUCUUCGUGAUUAUUGGGUUUCAGGGUGGCUACCGACCAUGCGGCGGUAGGCCAUCUUGGAUCCUUUGUUAGCCCAGCGGUAUUUGGUCGUCAAGCGGCGGGAACUAAAAUCGGCUACUCGACAGCAGGAAUACCGCUGGACUUCCAGGCUGUUCGGGAGCACGGUCAUUCAGUAGUUUGUUCCCCUAUAUGCAUUCGGUAUUUUAAGGUGAAGAUAAAGUAAUAUGUAUUUUCAUGCGGCGUUCGGUUAUUUAUGCUAGGAUCUGAGCGGUACUUUCACGAAAGGUGUGCUCAGACCCCAGCUAUCUGCCGAACGGUCAUUCGGUAAAAUAACGUGAAUAAUAUGGAAGUUAUGUAUAUUUAUGUAAAAUGUCAGUUCUGCUGGACGGAAGGAUAAUCCACUUAACUGGGUAUUCUAGUGGGAGUAUUCCUCUCGUACAGCAGUGCAUGGUGGGAGAAAUGUCCAGGUUGCUAAAUCCCUCAUGUAGUCCCCUACUGUACAACCCCUGGAAUGUCAGUAAGGAAACCCCUUGCAUGGGGAAUCCCAUAAAUACGAUGACCUGUGAUUAAAAGCUCAGUUGACUCCCAUGUGUCAUCUAGAUUUUAGGAGGGAAGGAUUCAUACAACGCCACCGGGAUUAUUGUAUGCUGUGCUUAUUUAUCUGGAUUAUUUUAUGCUGUUCCUGUUACCCAGCGGAGAUACCGUGGAUUGUACUACCUCUCCGCUACAAUCAGCAGAUCCACGGCGGAGGUUAAGGCAGAGAUCGCGACACUUGGGCACCGCACUACCACCCUGGAACAAAGACAGGAGACAGCCGUUAUAGCCCACAAUGAGGUAACCCGUUACGUUAACCUCACAUCACGGCUGGUAGCAGCGGAAACAGCCCUGGAAGAGCGAGCCAACCGCUACUGACAAAAUAUCAGGCUAAGAGGCCUACCAGAAAGGGAGGGUGGAGGAAGUCUGUCAGGCACGGUCCUGGCGAUCCUGAAGCCCCUCGCACCGGACAUCCCAGACAACCACUGGCACCUAGACCGGGUUCACCGAGCCCUGGGCACAAGAAAUCUGGAUGCCAAACAGCCGAGGGAUAUCAUUAUGCGCUUCCAACAUUUUCAAACAAAAGAAACUAUCAUUAAACGCAGCAGAGAAGGCCCCAUCACCUAUAAAGGGACGACUAUCCUCCUAUUCCAAGACCUGGCCCCAGCGACACUCCAGAGGUGCAGAGAAUGGCGACCGGUUACAGACAUCCUCAGAAGCCACAAAACAAAAUAUGCCUGGGGACACCCCUUCAAGCUCAUGGCGUUCAAGAAUGGCAGACUGAAGAUACUAACACCAGAUGGCGACGCAGUGGCCUUUCUUCAGGCACUAGACAUCCAGGCCCCACCAGACCUCCAAUGGCAGACAGCAAAUCCAGCGGACCUGCAGCUUCUACAUAGAGAGUGGUAUACAGCGGGCAAGUGAUGGCACAAACCACAGGGCAGACACACCGAGCACUUCAAGCCUGACCACCCCACCUUGGCAGACAAGGUGAGAUAUCCAGGGACACUGAUGGCAAGUAUGGAACCCCCCCUCUCCCUCUCAGCAUGAGAAGCCUAAUGGUGGGGGGACAAGUCUACGAACUAUCCCAAGCAGUCUAAUACGGAGGCACCGAGCCAGGACAGUGGGGUUGAGAAGGAAAUUAAGGUAUAUCCGGCACCAUGCAGCUACCUGGUAGCGGGCUGUUUGGUAGAAUAGAUGUUAACAACCCGCUCCAUUGACAACCUCUGAAAAAAUAACAUGGUGUUUAGCGAACCUCACAUGUAUAGGAUUGAACGCCCUGCUACGACAAUAGGCAUAGGCAAGCUGCAACUUAUGCCAUCACCGAAUAGUACAAAAGAGGUCUUGUCCCUAGCUAUACCAUGACGAUUAGAUCCGCUACAUUAUACUGAACGGACAGGUCAAGCCACCUUAAACAGACACAAGACUAAGGAAAGAGUCCUGCCAAGCCAUCAUCACCUGCUGAGAAUAGGCACUCAGGCUAGACAUGGGGUUUACCAAAGUUACACUACACCACAUGGACGCCCAUAACCCUUAAAGAUGACACCAAAUAGCACCACCUACAGACUGUAAACACACGGAGGGGCUAGCAGAGAUGAGGAUCACACAACAAGUACACAUCCCCCUUACGCUGAACCCCCUGACAAGACCACACGAACUCCUGGACCCAAGGACAUGCCGCGACAUGAACCAAGACCUUUCUGGCCUCCUAUAAGACACACUGACCGACGGGCAAGAUAGACGGGUCACAGGGACGACCCCGUAGACGUGCUCACGCAUGUAAUAAAAGGGCCUAGGGACUAGAUUGUACAGAUUAGGGCCCAUGCGUCCGUGUGCCGCACCCACUGUUGAUGGGCCGGCAGCGCUGAUGCAGGCGCCCCACACAAGUCUGGCAAGAGAUAAGACCAGACGGUUUUUCAGUUUUUUUUUCUGUUUAUAUCUCUGUUAUGAUUAACUACCUUUGUUUUUCCCUCCCCCUCAUGGUUGUCAGAGCAACCCGAUCUUGAGGAUCACAAGGACAGAGACAAGCGGCACCCCCACGCAAAACCCGCAGGGCCUGCCGGAAGACAACACCUGUAAGUCAGCCCACUUGCACUAAUCCCAGACACCACUAUGUCCACACGUAUCAAUUCCCUAAACGUUAAAGGGCUGAAUGCCCCUAAAAAGCGUAGGCUCUUAUACAGAGAACUUAAAAGACUAGACCCAGAUAUAGCCUUUCUACAAGAAACCCACCUGCCGAAGACCCUAGGGAUAUCCCUCAGAUAUCCCUAGGUACAGCACAGGCUAUGAGGCUAGAUUACACUCCAAACUAGAUUCUAAUACACAAACGUUGUCCGCUACGGGUCACAGGGGUCAACCCAGAUCCAGAUGGACGAUACCUCAUAAUUUCCGGGACGUUAUUUGCUCACACCAUUCACCUCAUAAACAUUUAUGCACCUAAUGAACCAGCCAGAGAUUUCUGGGAUCAAAUAGCGGACAAACUGAAAGCUUUACAGCAUGGCAUGAUUAUAAUGGGAGGUGACUUUAACGCCGUUCCAUGCCCUGCCGCAGAUAGGAGGACCAUAAGGGGCUUACCAUGCUCACACGGCAGAGGGAGACAAGACAGACUGAUACAUGACUUUAUCUGCACAACGGGACUGAUAGAUGUGUGGUGGGCCCAACUCCCAGGAGAAGUAGACUACACAUUCUACUCCCGCAUUGACUACUUCUUAGUAAACGACCAAGCCAUCCAAAAGACUACACAGUCCUCAGUAGGAUCCAUCACAUGGUCGGACCAUGCAGACAUCAGCUUAGAACUAGACAACCUCUGUACCACACCCAGUGGAACUGAAAACUAAACACGUCCCUACUGCAGGACCCAGCCAUUAAAAAGACUAUAUGCAGAGAGAUUGUAGAAUACUUCCAACUAAACACCACACAGGACCUGACUCCCACAACCAUAUGGGCUGCUCACAAAACGGUUAUCAGAGGUACCCUCAUCAGGGAAGCCACCAGAAAAAAGAAACUAAAAACACAACAAUUAAAAACCCUUUUACGCGACUUACACACUCAAAAACAGAGACACAAAUCCAACCCCACACCCGACGGACUCAUAGCCCUACAGACUACCCAACGCCACAUUAGAGAGACUCUGUUAGACGAUGUCGCAAAAGUUAUGACAUGGUCUAAGAGAACAUUCUAUGAACAGGCCAACAAAAUGCACACACUCCUGGCCCGCACACUGCGCCCGCGACCAAGACAAACACACAUCACAACAAUCAGGGACCAUACAGGACAGACUAAAACAGCACCAGCGGAUAUAGCUCAAAUCUUCACCGACUUCUAUAAAUCCCUAUACAAUCACACCACCACUGACGCCGACAAUGCACCAGACACGCGGGAAGAUAUCAGGCAACACCUUAGCAAAAUUGAUCUCCCGAAACUAACCCCUUCAGCAAUAGAGACCCUGGGGGAUGAAUUCACAGCGGACGAAAUAGACAGAGCUGUCUCCCAUCUUAAGGGAUGAAAGGCCCCGGGUCCCGGUGGCUACGAGGGCAGCUAUUACAAGACAUAUAGAGAAGAGCUGAUAACUCGCCUACUAAAGUGGUUCAACCACCUGAUGCAAGGUGGACAUCCUGACCCAGAAAUGUCUACGGCCCACAUAGUACUAAUACCAAAACCGGGGAAAGACACAACAUACCCUGAACAUUACAGACCCAUAUUGCUGAUCAACCACGACGUUAAACUACUGGCCAAGAUAUUAGCGGAAAGACUAUCUCCACACUUAACGAACCUAAUCCACGCAGACCAGGUGGGCUUCAUUCCCGGACGACAGCUAUUUGAAAACACUAGACGCAACAUCGACUUAAUAUGUACACGGAUGACCUCACACACCCCAACGCUUAUACUCUCUCUCGACGCCGAAAAGGCGUUUGACAGGGUAAAGUGGACAUACCUGUUUGAACUCUUACGACAUCUCCGGUUCCCCGAGACGUACAUUAAAACAAUCCAAGCCAUGUACACAGAUGUCAAGGCACACAUCCGGAUCCCGGGCGCCACGACAGCCCUUAUUGCCCUACACAAUGGCACACGACAGGGCGGCCCACUGUCACCCCUCCUGUUCGUACUCACACUAGAACCCCUAAUGCAAGCAAUCAGAUCAGAGGGCACAGAAUGGAGAGAAAUCUGGGACGCAAACAAAGCUAUCUCAGUGUGUGUCACACAACAAUAGCAGGCCUAUAAGACCAUGCUGAGAUGGUAUACCACCCCAGUAAAAUUGUACCAUAUGAGAGAAACUCCAGACAACUUGUGCUAGAGGGGCUGCGGAAACAAAGGGACGUACAUGCAUAUGUGGUGGGACUGCCCGAAAGUGCAGACCUUCUGGAGGGGAGUUGGGAACCUUCUUGAUAGGGUAUUCCACAGAAAAGUAACAUUAGACCCAUGUGUUUUUCUGCUCUCUCGAACACUAGAAGAUUGGCCAAGGAGGGGAACAGAAACUCCUGCACAAAAUCACGCUUUCUGCCAGACUCACUAUGGCACAGGCAUGGCUUAAACCAGCAAUCCCCCAGGUAAACACAGUAAUACACAAAAUAAAAGACACACAAGUCAUGGACCACCUUAAGGCACUGGUGAGAGGCACCAUGAAAUCUUACAAAAAAGUCUGGGACCUGUGGAUAGCAGGGGAUUGGGAGAGCUGAGUGGGGAACACAAUAGGGAUACCCCCACGGGUCUAACACUCACAUCGAUCCCAAAGGAGCCUCCCACGGUGCUCCGAACUCUACCAUGAGGGGGUCUCCCCCACCCACCCUUCCUCUCCAUUUC